UACGUAGGCAGCGAGCGUUGUUCGGAAUUACUGGGCGUAAAGAGUGUGUAGGCGGUGCUCUAAGUCGGUGUGAAAUCUCCUGGCUCAACUGGGAGGGUGCGCCGGAAACUGGAGUGCUUGAGCGUGGGAGAGGAAAGCGGAAUUCCUGGUGUAGCGGUGAAAUGCGCAGAUAUCAGGAAGAACACCCGUGGCUAAGGCGGCUCUCUAGUACGGUACUGACGCUGAGACGCGAAAGCGUGGGGAGCGAACAGG
rnacentral:rRNA from 1 species